rnacentral:rRNA from 1 species
UUGAAUGGCCGCAGUAAUUUGACUGUGCAAAGGUAGCAUAAUCAUUAGUUUUUUAAUUAAAAGCUUGUAUGAAAGGUUGGACGAGGUAAAAUCUGUCUCUAUUUAAUUUAAAUUAGAAUUUAAUUUUUAAGUUAAAAAGCUUAAAUAUUUAUAAAAGACGAGAAGACCCUAUAGAGCUUUAUAGUUAAAUUAUUAAAGUAAAUUUAGAUUUAUUUUAAUUUUAUUAAUUUAAUUAUUUUAUUGGGGUAAUAUAAAGAUUUAAAAAAUUCUUUUAAUUUAUAAACAUUAAUUUAUGAAUUAUUGAUCCAGUUUUAUUGAUUAUUAGAUUAAGUUACCUUAGGGAUAACAGCGUAAUUUUUUUAGAGAGUUCAUAUCGAUAAAAAAGUUUGCGACCUCGAUGUUGGAUUAAAAAUUAAUUUAGGUGUAGAAGCUUGAAUUUUUGGUCUGUUCGACCAUUGAAUUUUUACAUGAUCUGAGUUCAGACCGGUGUAAGCCAGGUUGGUUUCUAUCUUUAUUUAAUUAUAAUAUUUUAGUACGAAAGGACCAAAUAUUAAAUAUAUUUAUAUUUUAUUUUUUGAAUAUUAUUAAUUACUUUGGCAGAUUAGUGCAAUGAAUUUAGAAUUCAUAUAUGUAAUUAUUUUACAAGUAAUACUUGUUUUAUAUAGAUUUAUACUUUUCUUUAGUUUGUAUAUUUUUAUUGAUAAUUUGUGUUUUAGU